rnacentral:tRNA from 1 species
GGCGUAGCUCAACGGCAGAGCAGAGGUUUUGUAAACCUCAGGUUGUAGGUUCGAUUCCUAUCGCC